UCUUGCCUGGAGAAUUCCAGGGACACUGGAGGCUGGCAGGCUACGGUCUACGGCGUCACAAAGAGUUGGACACGUCUUAGCAACUAAAUAACAACAGUGUCAGGAAAGUCAUUCCUGGUUCUCUUUCUCCAGGGACCCCCUAACCUAUCUGCUUACAGAGGGAGAAAGAAAAGAAACAGAGAAAGGAAGAAGAAAAGAGACAGAAGAAGGAAGGAUGGAAGGAAGGAAGACAGGAUCUCAGUUCCCUGACCAGGGAUUGAACCUGGGCCAUAGCAGCGAAGCCGCAGAAUCUAAACACUAG
ensembl:lncRNA